CAAUAAGCAUAUUCAUUAGGACUGACAAGACUAACCUUGUUUCCUUCUUUGACAGAGUUACUGGAUGAAUAGAUCAAGGGAAUGCAAUGGACAUAGUUUGUGGACUUGAAUAAGUUACUUGGCAAGUCUUUUCUGAACAAGAACGAGAGGUCUCAUCUGACUGGAAGUGGAGAGACCGCCAGAAAUGUGCGAGGAGAACUUGAACAGACCCACGACCAGAGGGGAAUUUAUACAUGUGCACCGGGACAGACAUCUUCAAGCAGAAACGAUCCACAAAAACAGCUGUUGGUGAACAGGGUGUUACCGAGCAAAGGUGACACUCACAGGAGGGUCGAUGUAAAUAGUCAUUUCUCCCAAUGGGGUUUUCCAUGGGGACAAGCUGUCU
rnacentral:lncRNA from 1 species